rnacentral:rRNA from 1 species
GACAGAGGCCUCAAGCGUUAGGCGGAAUCACUGGGCUUAAAGCGUGUGUAGGCGGAUCGUUAAGUGCCUUGUGAAAUCCCACGGCUUAACUGUGGAACGGCUGGGCAUGCUGGCGGUCUUGAGCCAUCUAGGGGCGACUGGAACAAACGGUGGAGCGGUGAAAUGCGUAGAUAUCGUAAGGAAGACCAGUGGCGAAGGCGGGUCUCUGGACAGUUCCUGACGCUGAGGCACGAAGGUCAGGGGAGCAAACGGG